UGGAUCCAGACUUUGACUCUGGCUCAGGACGAACGCUGGCGGCGUGCUUAACACAUGCAAGUCGAACGGAGUGCCUCGGAAAGAGAUUUCGGUCAAUGGAAGAGGUUACUUAGUGGCGGACGGGUGAGUAACGCGUGAGGAACCUGCCUUUCAGAGGGGGACAACAGUUGGAAACGACUGCUAAUACCGCAUAAUAUAUGUUUGUCGCAUGGCAGGCAUAUCAAAGAUUUAUCGCUGAGAGAUGGCCUCGCGUCUGAUUAGCUAGUUGGUGAGGUAACGGCCCGCCAAGGCGACGAUCAGUAGCCGGACUGAGAGGUUGGCCGGCCACAUUGGGACUGAGAUACGGCCCAGACUCCUACGGGAGGCAGCAGUGGGGAAUAUUGGGCAAUGGGCGCAAGCCUGACCCAGCAACGCCGCGUGAAGGAAGAAGGCUUUCGGGUUGUAAACUUCUUUUAAGAGGGAAGAGCGGAAGACGGUACCUCUUGAAUAAGCUCCGGCUAACUACGUGCCAGCAGCCGCGGUAAUACGUAGGGAGCGAGCGUUGUCCGGAUUUACUGGGUGUAAAGGGCGUGCAGCCGGGCUUACAAGUCAGAUGUGAAAUCCCGCGGCUCAACCGCGGAACUGCAUUUGAAACUGUAGGUCUUGAGUACUGGAGAGGCAGACGGAAUUCCUAGUGUAGCGGUGAAAUGCGUAGAUAUUAGGAGGAACACCAGUGGCGAAGGCGGUCUGCUGGACAGCAACUGACGGUGAGGCGCGAAAGCGUGGGGAGCAAACAGGAUUAGAUACCCUGGUAGUCCACGCUGUAAACGAUGGAUACUAGGUGUGCGGGGACUGACCCCCUGCGUGCCGCAGUUAACACAAUAAGUAUCCCACCUGGGGAGUACGAUCGCAAGGUUGCAACUCAAAUGAAUUGACGGA
rnacentral:rRNA from 1 species